ACUUAAAUACCCUUAAAAGAGCGAGAGGAUAUUUCAACUCCAUCGAGACGAGAGGGCUGUCAUCUAUACCAUGAAAAGAGCUAGAGAAGAUGAAAUCAUCGUCAUCUUUUUCUAUUUUGAUACCAGUGGAUAAAGUACUGCUAUGGAUUUUGAAGGCAAAAACAACAAAGUCGAACUUAUAUAGUAGUAUGUCUUCUUUCCCCGUCUCACCUUCUUUAUCUUUUUUCUCUAAUCUGAUUACGUAUGUUAGUUUUUGUAUUAGCAUGUCUUGAUUUAUUUCAAAUAUGUGGUUCUGUUGAGUAAGUAUUGUUAAUUGUGAUACCAAACAAAUGGAGGGCAUUGAUGGCUAUGAAUGAAUGUUAGUUUAGAGUUUGCAUUGUUAAAAUGGGUUACGAGAACACAGUAAAUACACAACUCAACAGCUGCAACAUGCAUACAAGGUGUUUGCCUAAAUGCUUGAGUCAGCUGUUUUGAUUACCAAGAGUUGCUGUCAGCUAGCCAUGGUGCUGGUUAUGUUUGAAAGGGUUAAUAGAAGUCAAGAAGGAUCAGCAGCUGAAGUUGGUAAUUGGGUUUGGACAGUGAAGUAAGGUGAUGGUGAUGUAUUUUGCAACUUACUAUGAUAAACCUAGAUUUAUUCAAGAUGCACCUGAGUGCAUCAUAUACUAACAUGAAAAUAGGUUUUGGCCUAAAUGCACUUGAGCGCAUAAUGUAUACAUUUUUUGAAUUUUUUGUUGUUACUCUUAUUUUUGUUCUUUAAUACUUGUUUUUGAUUGAUGCUUUAAUGGUGAAUGUAACGGUAAUGGUAGUGGAUUUAUUGC